AUUGAACGCUGGCGGCAGGCUUAACACAUGCAAGUCGAGCGGAGCGAGGGUGCUUGCACCUUAGCUUAGCGGCGGACGGGUGAGUAAUGCUUAGGAAUCUGCCUAUUAGUGGGGGACAACAUUCUGAAAGGAAUGCUAAUACCGCAUACGCCCUACGGGGGAAAGCAGGGGAUCUUCGGACCUUGCGCUAAUAGAUGAGCCUAAGUCGGAUUAGCUAGUUGGUGGGGUAAAGGCCUACCAAGGCGACGAUCUGUAGCGGGUCUGAGAGGAUGAUCCGCCACACUGGGACUGAGACACGGCCCAGACUCCGACAGGAGGCAGCAGUGGGGAAUCUUGGACAAUGGGCGGAAGGCUGAUCCAGCCAUGCCGCGUGUGUUAAGCAGGCCUUUUGGUUGUAAAGCACUUUAAGCGAGGAGGAGGCUACUUAGAUUAAUACUCUGGGAUAGUGGACGUUACUCGCAGAAUAAGCACCGGCUAACUCUGUGCCAGCCGCCGCAGUAA
rnacentral:rRNA from 1 species